GGGACAAGCCCUGGAAACGGGGUCUAAUACCGGAUAACACUCUGUCCUGCAUGGGACGGGGUUAAAAGCUCCGGCGGUGAAGGAUGAGCCCGCGGCCUAUCAGCUUGUUGGUGGGGUAAUGGCCUACCAAGGCGACGACGGGUAGCCGGCCUGAGAGGGCGACCGGCCACACUGGGACUGAGACACGGCCCAGACUCCUACGGGAGGCAGCAGUGGGGAAUAUUGCACAAUGGGCGAAAGCCUGAUGCAGCGACGCCGCGUGAGGGAUGACGGCCUUCGGGUUGUAAACCUCUUUCAGCAGGGAAGAAGCGAAAGUGACGGUACCUGCAGAAGAAGCGCCGGCUAACUACGUGCCAGCAGCCGCGGUAAUACGUAGGGCGCAAGCGUUGUCCGGAAUUAUUGGGCGUAAAGAGCUCGUAGGCGGCUUGUCACGUCGGAUGUGAAAGCCCGGGGCUUAACCCCGGGUCUGCAUUCGAUACGGGCUAGCUAGAGUGUGGUAGGGGAGAUCGGAAUUCCUGGUGUAGCGGUGAAAUGCGCAGAUAUCAGGAGGAACACCGGUGGCGAAGGCGGAUCUCUGGGCCAUUACUGACGCUGAGGAGCGAAAGCGUGGGGAGCGAACAGGAUUAGAUACCCUGGUAGUCCACGCCGUAAACGUUGGGAACUAGGUGUUGGCGACAUUCCACGUCGUCGGUGCCGCAGCUAACGCAUUAAGUUCCCCGCCUG
rnacentral:rRNA from 1 species